AUUGAACGCUGGCGGCAUGCCUUACACAUGCAAGUCGAACGGUAACGGGCCUUCGGGUGCCGACGAGUGGCGAACGGGUGAGUAAUACAUCGGAACGUGCCCGAUCGUGGGGGAUAACGAGGCGAAAGCUUUGCUAAUACCGCAUACGAUCUACGGAUGAAAGCAGGGACCGCAAGGCCUUGCGCGGACCGAGCGGCCGAUGGCGGAUUAGGUAGUUGGUGGGAUAAAAGCUUACCAAGCCGACGAUCUGUAGCUGGUCUGAGAGGAUGAUCAGCCACACUGGGACUGAGACACGGCCCAGACUCCUACGGGAGGCAGCAGUGGGGAAUUUUGGACAAUGGGCGCAAGCCUGAUCCAGCCAUGCCGCGUGCAGGAUGAAGGCCUUCGGGUUGUAAACUGCUUUUGUACGGAACGAAAAGCCUUCUUUCAAUACAGGAGGGUCAUGACGGUACCGUAAGAAUAAGCACCGGCUAACUACGUG
rnacentral:rRNA from 1 species